UGGAGAAUUUUGGACAAUGGGCGCAAGCCUGAUCCAGCAAUGCCGCGUGCAGGAUGAAGGCCUUCGGGUUGUAAACUGCUUUUGUACGGAGCGAAAAGGUCUGCCCUAAUACGGUGGGCUCAUGACGGUACCGUAAGAAUAAGCACCGGCUAACUACGUGCCAGCAGCCGCGGUAAUACGUAGGGUGCAAGCGUCAAUCGGAAUUACUGGGCGUAAAGCGUGCGCAGGCGGUUAUGCAAGACAGAGGUGAAAUCCCCGGGCUCAACCUGGGACCUGCAUUUGUGACUGUAUAGCUAGAGUACGGUAGAGGGGGAUGGAAUUCCGCGUGUAGCAGUGAAAUGCGUAGAUAUGCGGAGGAACACCGAUGGCGAAGGCAAUCCCCUGGACCUGUACUGACGCUCAUGCACGAAAGCGUGGGGAGCAAACA
rnacentral:rRNA from 1 species